UGCUGGGUGUUCACAGACUUCUGCGAAAAGCGGUACCGAGUGAAUGGGUUAAGUCUUGCAGUAAGGGAUGGGUCAGGAAUGCCAGACACCUGCUACAACGGAAAGUGUGAUGUUGGAGAAACUACAGACAACUGCCCAGUCGACUGCUGCUACAAGAAAAACAAACAGUGUACCUGGGGUAACAAAUGUACGCAGCUAUUUUGUGCCACCCCGUCUUGUGGGGUGGGGGUGGAGUGGAGGUGAUGGUGUGUUUACAGCUGGGACAUAUGGCAUCAAGAUCCUGGCUGCUGCUGUGCUAGUGCUGGGUGUCUUCAUUGUUUAUUUUUUCAGAAGGAAGAGGCAAUACAAGCGGGCACAGUCACACAAUGUUUAAAACAGAUUUUCUCUUGUUGAAUCUAUGAUAAAUGUACGUUGUUAGAUUUUUAACAAUUUGUAAAUAUGUUGCUUUCAACAAUAACUUUAAUUUAUAUUCACAACGAUCGCUUCGGUAACAUGAAGUGAUGUAUAACAUUCUUAGUAUUUUCUUCUUCGAGACAUUUUAGAAGUUGUGAAGAUGAAGGAAAACUUCUAUGGACAGUCAACCUCUGUGAGUGUGGCGUUUCGGUGUAGUUAUUAAGCAAGUGAUAAAAAGAGUUGAGACAUGGACAACAUAUACAUAGCUGCAUUGUGAGUAUAUACAAUUGACAAGGUAGAUGUCCAUUGAACAUCUAAUUAGUGAUUUGACCAGAGUAGGUUGAUGUACAGAGUGAUUAGUUGUGAUUAGAGGUUGAGUUUAUAUAAUGGUGAGUUUGAUGUACAAUGAGGUGGUGAUUAGUAAGUAGGUUGAAGUACACUG